rnacentral:lncRNA from 1 species
UGCUUCCCAAGAGUACAAAUGAAUCAAGGAUCAAGGAGAACUUUGAUGUCUUUGGGUGGUCUAUACCUGAAGACCUGUUUGCUGAGUUUUCUGAAAUUGAGCAGGCAAGUAGUUCUUUUCCUCAUUGCCUCGGUCGAUUCCCUUAUCAUCAUGGCUCCUAGUAAUUGUUGACUGGUGGGCCACUAUAUAAAGCUUUUUCCUUGAUUCCUUUAGCGACCGGAUGAUUGGAUGGUGUAUGUGGUGAUAUACAAGGAAGUAUAAGUUCAUUUGAGAGGCACAGGAUCUUGUGCUAGAUACUCUCUCCUUCUUAUCCGUUCUCUCAUAAUAAUAACAGUUUGGUUUUUAACUCUGCAGGCAAGACUUAACACAGAAAGCUGCUAUACCCAUGAGACCUUCGGCCCCUACAAGACAGUUGAGGAACUUUGGGAUGGUGAGGUCUGAUCGGACAAUUUAGUGAAUAUUUGUAAUGACGGGUUUUUUUGAUUGGGAGAGGUUUGCUGGUCGAUUUCUCUCUCAUAUCACUAACGCCUACUUGAUUGGUUCUCUUGACUGUGUAGUUUCACAGCUCUACUUUGUUUUGCUACCACAUAAUAAAACAAUGCUUUUGAUUUCCAUGGAUUGUGCAGUGGUGGUAGGAAGUUGGAAGUAUAGAAAGCAAUGGUACAUGCUCCAAAAUUGAGAAAAAGAAAAUGUUUCAAUGCUAUGCAAUUCAAAUUUUUUAGGCUGAAUAAUUCAAGAAAUUAUGUCAAUGUUAGUGAAGCUGAACUAAAAAGACAAUAAUAAGCUUAUCAGCUAAAGUACAUUCAGUCGUUAGGAUUAUCAACUCAGAGAUCAUAAAAUAUUCCCAGUAAUGGCGAUUUAUUGUGAAUUCAGUUUAGGUGAAUUGCCCUGAAAUAUAACAGAAAUGAAAUUAAUUCAGAUUCAGCCUGAAUUGGGCUUAAGGUGUCUUCCAGUUCAGCUUGCCACAGUUCCCUCCUGCCAAUAAAAGAGGAAAGUUAAACUCAGAAGCCUUUAACAGCCAUUGGACUUGAGCGUACGUUUGAAGGCAGAUGAUGGCUUGAAUGGUUGACCACUGCUUACUCAGUAACUCAGCCUCUUAAGUAAUCAAAUAAGGUGAAUUCUCAAGGAAUUUUGUGUGUAUUUAGUUGUAUGUAGCAUUAUAUACAGAAGCAGGAUGGAUCAAGGGGCUAUAAAGAAACAGGGGGAAAAGGAUUUGAUAACGUUUGGAAGUUUAAGUGAUAUUUUAUUAUGGAAAAUUAUUAAGGAAAGAAAAGAAAAAUGUUAAGAAAAAUAAUUUUUUAUAUAUUUAAAUUUACUAUAUAUAAUAUGAAAGAAAAUCAAAUAUAAUUAAAAUUAAUAGGAAAUUUAUAUAUUUUUAAAUUAUUUAAUUUUUAUAUAAAAUAAGUUUAAAAUAACAUAUAAAAAUAAUUUAUUGAUUUUAAAUAUUUUUUUAUUUAUUUGUUUCUUCCCUAAUUUUUCGAACCAAGCAUAACCUUAAAUUACUAAUGGGUGAAAAUUAGAUACAAUGCACUUGAAGAACCUGUUGAAGAUGGGGGUGCAAUCUGUUGGUAAUCCAUGGAAGAGUUGGAUAAUCAUUAGAAUAAGAUAUUCCCCCCAAUUUCUUUUUAUUUUGAGCUUAAAGUGAUCCAAUUAUUUGCAGGAUGAAUUCAUCAAGAUGCAUAUGCGCCAGUUUAUGUUAUAUGCGUACUACUAGUUCUCCCUACAUAAUUUCUUUUCUUCUUUCCUUUUUUUUUUUUUGUAAGUACCAUUUUUUUUAUUUAACAUCGUAUUUAGCCUGGCAAAUAUGUGACCCCAAAUUGUUGAUGUUUAUUGUGAAAAACAUAAUAAGAAGGUGAAAAUAAAAACACACAAAAUAUAAAACAAUUUACUUGAUUUAGUUUAAAGACUAUAACAUUGGACAAAAAAAAAAAAAACAAAAAACUUCUUAUUCUAGGAGAUUAUAAUUCUAGAACUCUCAAAUUCCAAAGUUCAAUUACCAAAAAAAAAACUUUUUUUUUUUUUUUUUUAUCAAAAUGUUUUUCCAUAUUUUUUUCUAAUUAGAUAUGAAGAUUUUAUAUAAGAAACUAAUUUUAUGAUUGUAAUAUAUUUAUAAUAGGAAACUCUUUUAUAAAAAUAUUUUCUAUUAGGAAACUAUGAACGGUUUUUCAAUUCACUCAAAAAUGGAAUUUAGACACUUUCCAGGAAGUGUUGUUUUCAGGCUAUUGAGAAACUUUGGAAUUGUGAGAUCUAAUCAAACUUAUUAGUUUAUGCGUCUUGAUUACGCGCAUGAGGCAAGUUGCAUGUAGUAAACGUGCAUGAAACUUUUGGUGUAUAUAGAAGCAGAAGUGGAGCCAGGCUAUGCCCAAGGGGCAAAUGACCCCCUCAAAUUUUUGACAAAAGUACUACCAAGUAGCGGGUUUGAUCCAAGCUCAAAAUUAUGCAAAGUAAACAUGGUUGGCUCUAGGCUAUAAUGUUAUAAGAGCAUUAACUAGUCAGUAAUUUUGGUGAAAGAAAAUUUUUUUAUAUGCUCUUGAGUUAACUAAUUAAAAGGAAUGAAAUAAUUUUCAAUUUUAGGUUAUGUUUGGUUCCUAAAAAGUAUUAAAUAAAAAAAAAAUGGUAGGAAAAAUGAUUUUCUUUGAUUAUAUUAUAGAAAAUUUCAAAAAAAAAAAUAUGUAUUUUAAAAUUAUUUAAUAUUUAUGUUGAUGAAUUAAAAUAAAUAAAAUAAGUUUACAAAUAAAAAUAAUUUAUCAAUUUUAAUUUAAUUUUUUAUUUUUCUCUCUAUUUUCUUUUUUUCAUAUUUUUCCUCAAAUUUUCUGAAAUCAAACAUAAUCUUAACAUUUUCAUAUUUAUUUUAAGAAUAAUUAAUUUUUAAUAUAAAUACCGUUAAUUAUUUGAUAAAAAGGGCCUCUAAUAACCCAAAAAUUUGAAAUUUAAUCUUCCAUUCUUUUUUUUUGCAUCAUUUAGAUAAAAAUACUUUUAUUAUUUUAUUGUAAAAAUAAAUAUUUCUUUUAAAACCUGUAGAUACUUAAAAUAGAAAAUGAAAUUUAUGUUAAAAUUGGUUUAAAAAAAAACAUGGAAAGGCUUUUAAUCAAAUAACCCUACGCUCUUUUCUCUUAAGGGAGACGUUUCUGUUAUUCGGAGCUUUGAAGGGUGGAGCAGCAGUUUCUGUUUUCUCGUAUCUAGAAAUGUCUCCGUUCUUUGAAUUGAACAUAGGAGCAAAGAUCCCUUCGGUAGGAUUGGGAACCUGGAGGGCUGAUCAUGGUCUCAUUGGCGAUGCCCUUGCCACCGCAAUCAAGGUCUCUCUCCCCCAUACGCGUCACUUCUUCUUUUCCUUCCUUUUCUAUUUGUACGUUUUGCACCUGAAUUUGUGUGUGGAUCCUCUCCAAUAUAUUGUAUAUAUAUUUGUUGAUGGUACUUAUCUAAUUAGGGUUCAUUGCUCCAGGAAUUUGGUGUUUUGUGUAUAUUAUAUUCUUUCUGGGUGUCUCCUCUUUACUUUAUAUACGACUUUUCUUUACGUAUCAAAAAAAAUUAUAUUCUUUCUGGGUGUGAAGGUAAAGUUACGUUUUUUUGUGUCUUAUGGUGCAAAUUCUUUAUAAUUUUCCUAAGGACGUCAAGAUCAUGGCCUUGAUGACCUUUUGAAUAAACAUUUGCACAGGUUUUUCACGGAUGGGGUGUUUUUCUGCUUUGGCUUAUUGUAUAGAAGGUACCAGAAAAAUUAUUGCUUGAAUGAAAAUCAAUUCACAACCAGGAAACUAAAUAAAUAUACGGGCCUAGAAGCUAUUUACAGUAACUUACAAAAGAAUAGCCUAAAUUAUGGUGACUACUGAAAAGAAUGGCCAAAAUCAUAGAGAAACAGUCGUGGGAUCAAGGAUAACGGACAAUUAACCACAAUAUGAAAGAUCUCAUACUCACAAGAUGGUGCUUCCAUUGGAGAUACAAAUCUUGGAACAAAGAAUGAUGAAACUGUUGAUGGGACAGGGGCUUAAUAAGUGCAUCAGCCAAUUCCCAAUUGAUUCGUAGUUGAAAUGUAAGAAACAGUAAGGAUCCUCCUGAUAACUUGAUAAGGAGCAAAGUGGAUGUCCGGCAGAUAGAUGCAUGGAUCCAAAAUUGUGGCUGUAAAUAGUAGGUUGUCUGGACAAUGAAAUGCCAAGCUCACUAAGAAGAGAGCAAACCUGAAGGAUCUUGGUAGCAGUGGAGGAAGGGCCCAAUACUUGGCCUUGAUUGAGGUGUGGUUCAUAGUCUCCUGUUUGUGUGAGUGCUAUGAAACAGCAUUACUGCCUAAGCAGACAAGGUAGACCAUCAGGGAAGUGUAGUCAUCGCAGUUCCCAACCUUAUCAGCAUUAAUGACAUGGAAAGGUUAGUUGCAAUUAAGGUAGAGACCAUGUCAAGUGUAUUUUUAAGGUAUUGAAGUAAUUUCACUGUGUAUACUUUGUUGUGGCAUUUGCUUUGGCGCCUUUAAUAUAUAUAUGUUUUCUAUUUACCUAGAUAUGUAUAUAGAUAGAUACAAAGAAGUAGGUGCUUGGCGGUGGAGCUAUGAGUUUCAGUUGGCUUGUGCAUGCAUUGUGCAAGUUUAUUGGUUGAGUAGGAGAUGUUCUGUUGAGUUAAUUCCAAGUUUUCCAGGCAACCAAAUGAACCAGAUGUGGACAUGAUUAAUCCUUUUUGUUUGGAACACUUCCAGCCUCAUGUUUGAGUCCCAAGGUCACCCUCAUCUUAGCCAAUAAUUUAAACAAACAUAGAAAGCACUGAAACUGUCAUAAGUAAUGAAAACAAUCAUCAAAUCUAAAAAUAUUGAAUCUUUAAAAAUUUUGCUAAACUAGACAUUUCAAAAUCGAGUUCUUGCAGAUUCUAGAAAGUGAAAGAAACUCUAAGAAUCAAAACUAAAAGUUUUAAAUCAAAGAUAAUCAAGUUCCUAACACCACUCGGUGAAAAAGGAAAACAAAACUUCAAGGAGAUCUUCAUAGGCAUGUUGAAUGAGAAAAUCUGUUUGCUGCCACUCUUCUUCUCUCCCUUUGUGUGCCUGUUCCUCUUCUCAAACUUAUCUAAAAGAUCCCUUCUCAGUAUCAAAAGAUGUUUAAAUAGGUCAUCUCCAAACCUUAGACCUGUGGAAAGAGGGUUUGGGCAUUUUUAAUGGUGUUUGGGCCUUCUUGGGUUAAGACUGAAAUCCCUUGCUUUAGCUUUAGCAGAUUUUUGAAAAUUUUCCCCAAUUUGUGUGAUUUUUCCAGUAGGGAAAAUGACCUUAGAAUUUGGUGAAAAUUGGCAGAUCCAUUCUUCUAUGAGUCUAGGAUUUUUCAAAAUUUAUUUCUCCCCUGAAAUAGUUGCAAACUUUAAAUUGGUCAAAAUUAGACCUACAGCAGAGUUAUGUGAGCUUCCUCUUAUUUUGCUACUUUGUUCUUUUGCUUCUAAACCUUUGUGCAAAAUUCUUGACCUCUCUAAGAUCAUCCCAAUACUCAAAAUUAUUUUUUUUAAGUAAUUCGAGUUUGAGAUCUUGAAGGGAAAUACCUAUAAAGUUUUACAUACAACUUGAAAGCCAUGAUAACUGCGCACAUAGAGGGAUAAGACAAACUUAGCUAAUUAAGGGCUAUGAUGUCUACUAACUUGCUUCAAAAUGUGAGGUAAUAUUAAUAAUACAGUGUCCAUAUAAUUUGAAAGAUCACAUAAUACAUGAUAUAAAAAGAUUGGCAUGGUAUGGUAAGUUCCUCCAAUAAAUCAAUCCAAUUUCCAUGUUGAUCGCAUUAUUUAAUUUGGAGGCUUUGAUUCUAUUGAAUUCCCUAAUUUACGGUUGUUCAUGUAUGGAAAAGAGUCAAAUGUUCAGUAUGGGGUAAUCCAGAUGAUGCUUCUUAUUUUUCUUUUUCUUUGUUUUGUUUUUUUUUUUAAUGGAGUUUUGCAUCAAAUAGGUAAAAAAUGUUUUAUCUAAUAGAGCCACUGUUUUGAUUGGAAAAUGCCUCUAAAAAAUGUCUAACUCACUUGUAUUGGAUUCUAUAGUCUCUUCUCUUCUACCAUAGCCCUAAAUGGUGAGAGGAUUAGCCUCCCCUUGAAAUAACCUCGUGAAGACAAUCUUUUCAAUAUUAAGGGUUCCCCUAUUUAUAUGUUCUUAUUUCAAUGUUGAUGACAACUAAUAUUUCCUUCUACUGACUAUUAUAUUUUUCUUAUUGAAAUUAGCUUUAAUGUUUGGAAGAGGUUUUUGUACUCUAUCUUGUAGAUGUUGUUGUCCUUUGUCUAUACAUGAGUUGGCUUAUGUCUAGACUUCAUAGCUUUGGUUUCUUUCUUUUGCUAAUUAAUUUAAUAUUUAUAGAACCAAUUCCACAUAUCAUAGAUGCAUAGAAACAUAUAUAUAUAUAUUUGAUAGGUUGUAAAUAUAAUAUAUGCACAAACACUACCCAUGAUCUUGACAAGUAGGUCAUCACAUAAUAGAUGUUUAGCAAGUAUUCACUAUUGCUAACUCGGGGAGGAAUGCCUCUAUAGGCAUUUCAACUGCUAUGUUAAACCAAGGUUUGGUUAAUCUCAGUUUGAUGAUAACAAAAUAAGGUUUAGAAGUAAUGUUUUAUUUUAAGUGUGCUUAGGUUUGAGUAAAUCAUCAUAGCUAAGGUUUGAGUUUAUCUCAUAAAAGCUCAUUAAUGACCAUGAAGCACAUGUUUGCCACUUCCUUCUUAUUUUCUUCUUCUUCAAGAGUCAUCUUCACUAUUAGUCCAAGUGGCCAUCAUCGCCUUCUUCUUUCCUUUCUUUGCUCCACUCUUAUAGAGAGGGGAAUCAUAUUUAAUAUGUCUCUGUUUCUUGUACUGUAGCAUAUUAAAUCCUUCUCCCUGUCACCAUUCGAUGAAGCUUCCUUCUUUUGAUUGUCUUUUCUAGGAGUGAAUCUCCUUCCUUUGAGUUUCACCCUUCAUAAAUUUCUUGAAUUUCUUUAUGAGGGUCAAGUCUUCAUAUUCUUCACCAUCAUUUUCAUCAACCUCUUUUCCAAUAGUGGAGGCUUUUUUCAAAUAAGUCAUGUUUUAAGUGGUUUUCCCAUGUUACUAUUGUCGGUGAUUGUGCUAACUUACUGUCGGUGACUUUUCAGGGCUAUACUCUUCUUUUUGUCUUCCACAUCUUGAUGGCUCUUGAUGGUGAUCUCAUUGGUCAUCAAUGACCCCAUCAAUUCUUCUAAUGGUAGCUUGGUCAAGUCCUUGACCUCUUAGAUUGCGGUGACCUUAGCUUCCCAUUUCUUUGGAAGAGAUCUUAGCAUCUUCAUCACUUUUUCAGAUUCAAUAUACAUCUUUCCCAAAGCUUGAAGACCAUCGACAAUGUUAGUGAACCUACUAAACAUCUUAACAAUGGUUUCAUUAUCAUUCAUAGAAAUAAUUUAUAACUACAAGCAGACAAAUUAAUUUUAAACUCUUUUACUUGAUUAGUUCCUUCAUGAGUUUACUUCAAGAAGUCUCUAAAUUUCUUUAACCGAUUUACAUUAAUAAACACGAUUGUAUUCAUUUCUAUCAAUAACAUAAUGUAAAAGGUAAAUGAUUUUGACAUUCAAUUAAACUUUUCUUUUAUCAAGCUUAUCCCAUUCUUGACUAGGUUUUGGAAUCCUCACUCCAUUUUUCAAUUUUGAAAAGAUGGUGGGACUAUUUUCAAUGACAUGCACCUUAAAGAUCAAAAUUGGUAGAUUAUACAAACCAAGUCAUUUUCGUUUUCCAAUACGCAUACUCGGUUCCCAUAAAUAAUGGAGGUCGGGUGGUUGAAAAACCUUCCAAAUGGGAUGAGUUUGAUGAAUUAUCCAUAUCCUCUUAGAUGGUUAAAUCUUUCACAAGAGAUCUAGCUCUAAUACUAAUUGUUAAACAAGGCUAAUUAGAUUAAACAAAACACCUAAAAGGGGGGAGAGAGGAGUUGAAUUGGGUUUUAAAAUUGUUUCAAAGAAUAUACUUAAUUUUGAUGGCUCAAAAAAAAGUAAAGAGAGAAAGAUAGAGAGAUGCAAACUCGAUUUUUAUGAUGGUUCGACAAAUCCCACCUAUAUCCAAUCUCCUCAAACUCCUUCCACGUGAGGCUUCCACCAUUUCGAGGCUUUCAACCGAAGCCUUCAAGCUCUACACUUGGAUUCAAUGGCUCCAAUAGGCACGUACACAAUCUCUUCAAGUUUAAUCCUAACUUGAGGCUUCACCAUGCAACCUUACUCAAAUUGAUAAAGGUUUAACAACAUUUAAACUAGCACAAUAAAUGCUUGAAAAGAUUAAGAAAGAUUUGCGAGUGAAUGAUUAAUCCACAAAGGAAUAAGAGCUUUGAAUGAGAGAAAAUGGUGGUUUGAUAAUUUAAUGGAAGUAUUAUCUUAUCAAUAAAUGCAUAAGAGCUUUCUAUUCAUAGGUUUUUAACCUUGGACAUCUUUUUCUACAAAAAUGAGUCUUGGCCAGUCGAGCUCCAUUUCGACCAGCUGAUUCGCCGUUGAGUAUUAAAUGCACUGUAGAUGACCAUUGGUCCUUUUUGAGCUUUGAUCAGGCCUCAAGCAGGAAAGGUGAAGCCUAAACCAAGAAAGCAAGCUCUUUGGAAGAGGGAGAAAAUUUUCUAGAACCUAGGAUGGAUCUCAACUAGAAAAAGGUAGCUGAUUGAACCAGUUUCCAACUAGUUGAGUUGGUUUAAGUGCACCCUAGAUUGGUUGCACCUAAAAGGCCUAAAAACUUUUUCUUUUUCUUCCCAAAAGCUUUCUAAUGCUUAGGCAAUGUGUUUAGGUAAUUUAUGACUCUAUUUUGAAGAGUUUUGCCACCUAAGGUUUUUGAAGUUUAACUUAGUUUCAAGUAAAGUGAGAACUUUUAGGCAUUUUUUCAGAAAACUAAGUAUGAAGAAAUGCAUGAAAAAAGUUUAAAUCCUAAGAGCAUUUAAAGGAUUCAUCUAACAUUAAUUUCCUAGGCAAAAUAAGUCUUCAUGCAUCAUUGAUUUCGCUUUCCUUGAAUUCUUUUAAGUGAACUUGUCAUUUUCUUUUGAUUUUCUUGUUAUAAAACCGAAACUUAACUUGAUUUAAAACAAUUAGCAUACUUAACCAUGUUUUGUUAUUAUCAAAAUUUGAUUAAGAGAACUCUUAGGCUAACAAGGUGCAUUUGCACACACCCUCUCUUCCAAUGUCAUAUAUUCAACCAAUUGAGGUUAAGCCUUAAUUAGUUGAGGCUAAACCUUAAUCGGUUGAUGCCCAAUCAAAGCCUUGAACCCUAGUGGUCACUUGCUAGAAGCAUUAAAUGCUAAUGACUAGUGAACCGACCGAACUAGUGCUCAAUCAAACGACGCCAAAACUGCGUCUAACGGCUAGUUUAAGCUUCCAAACUCUAUUUAAAGGCUUUAAAGUUCUUUAUUUAAAAGUGUAAGAGUUCUAAAUCUUUUAUGAAUAUCAUUUGAGUCUUGAGGGAGUGUUUUUUUGUGCACUUUGUUUCAAAACUUACAUAUCAUUGGUGCACCAUUUAAUUCUAAUUUAUCUUCUAUCAUUUGAACCUAAAUUUUGUACUAGGAUUUUGUGAGAAUAUUUCCUAUCAUUUCUUGUAAACCUUUGAAAGGGAAAAAUCUAAGUGUGAAGUAUCAUUUAGGGAUUCUCAAGCGUGGGGUAUCACUUGAGAGAUUAUUCAAGAGUAAGGUAUCUCUUAAGGAUUGUAAAAGGUGCUUGAAACCAGAAGUCCAAGAGGGUUGUUUGGAACCAUAAUCCAAUUGUAAAGUUUGGAGGUUUGGUUAAAAGCCUCGGAAUGAUGGAACCCUCACUUGAUUAGGAACUUGAGAAGUAUAGGUUGGGUUGCAUUGAACCAUCAUAAAAAAAAGAGUUAGCAUUUUCUCUUCCCUAAUCUCUUUAAUUUAUAUAUCAUUAUUUUUCAUUGUGUUUAUUAUAUAUUUGCAUAUAAUUAUCUCUUGCAUUCAUACAAUUUAAAUUUAAAAAACAAAAAGCCAUCACCCUAUCCACUCCCUGUAUGGUGAUAACCUUAGGUUGAUCUAGCUAAAAUGCUAACAUAGUAGCUCAUCAUAGUUUGUCAUUUUGUGGUGCACCUAUAUUAAGACACUGAUUCAAACAGCUUAUACUUGAUUUUGGACCCAAAAAGAUGCAGAUUUCUUGGAUUUAGAAGUGGUCAUCUAAUAUUUUGAUGAUUCAUAACUAUUCCUUUUUCUUUUUUGUCCCUGCAGGUUGGAUACCGCCAUAUUGAUUGUGCUCAACUUUAUGAAAAUGAGGAAGAGGUAGUUACAACAAUGAUGCAGUCCUAAUUUCUUUGUCAUUCACCCUAUCAUUAUGAUUAUUAUCUGUGCGUAUUUAUAGUAAAUACUUAAAUUGCAUUGAAGUUUAGAAAGAAAAAAAUCAUGAGUAGUGUGCAAGAAAACCCUGAUGUAAAACAGAGACAAUCAUCAGAACAGAAAUGAAAGACAGUAUUCUACUAAAGCAAUUUCUCAAGUCUAUCCCCACUCAUGAAAGAAUUAUCUAUGUUGGUUUACAUCAGAAAUUGACAUCCAAAUGAAAAGGGUCUGCAGGAUCAGUUCUUUGAUCUUCUUCUCCAAAAUUCCUAUACCUAGAUUGCUGAUAGCUUGAUCAGGGAGAGGUGAAUAUUCUUUCUUAUGUACUUCGAAUUCUGCUCAUGAUUAUUGAUCAUGUUCAUCUUCUUCUAUUGUGCAAACCAUGUCUCCCUUAUUCUUGCCCCUCCCCUCCCCAUAAACUAGCGAUGCCAACUAGUCAAUUGUUUUAGAAAUUUCAUGAAAACCUGCUGUAUUGCAAGCAUAAUGAGAAACAGAGACCAAGAGUCCCAAGUCACCAGAGAAUGAAUAAAAAUCGGUCCAGUAUUCCUCUUCCUCCUGCAUAUGCAACAUUCAUUGGGAGUUGUCCUUCCCAAUUAAGGAUUUUGCUCAAGCUUCUGUCUGGGCCUUUAGCCAAUUUCUUUGAGAGGGAAACCGACUACUCCAACUCUAGCCUGCUUUCUGUAAUAGUAGUUCAGAACUUCCUGUCUGAUUGCCCUGAACUCAAAAACAGGGAUGCCUGGGCACCAAAAAAGAGGGAGAAAUCAUUGAGAUGUGACAUGUAAUCCCUAUUUACCUUUCAGAUCAUCUCAUUAUAUCCUUGCUGUCUCCCUGAAAUGCACUGAUUUGUAAUUAAUACUACAUUAAGCAUUCCAUCUUCCAAAUCACCUUCUUGAAAUGCACUUAUUUUCAGUCAAUAAUGCAUCAAGUUUUCUGUGCCUCACAAUCACCUUCUUACACCUUCCCAAGCUAACAGAUCCAAAUAGUAUUUCAUAGAUGCUACCCAUCCAAACUAAUAGGAAUGAAAUCUUUUAAGGUACUGCACCUCCCUUCGUUUCUUUUCUUUCUUUUUUAUUUUUUAAUAUCAAGUAUUUUUUUUUUUCUUAUGGCAAUUUAAGAACUGAUUCUCUUAGUUAUUAGUGAUAGAAAUGUAGGUAAACUUGUGUGGAUUUAACAUAUCCAUUUUUUAAAAAUUGGUUAUUUGAUUAGUCUUUUAACUGAAAAGUCAUUUUGCUUUUGUACACCAUCUUUUAUUUUACUUUCUUACCUAUACAAGGGAAUGUUUGAAAUUAUUUUAUUGAUUUUUUCAUUCUUUGUUUUUUUAGAUUUAAUUCUACUCCAUUGAUUAUAUCUAAACUAGUUGAUGUUUUUCUUAAUGCUUUCUAAAAGUUAGGAGAGAGUUUGAUAAUCACGAACACUCUGUAACCUCUUCUCCAUUUCAUCCAUCAUUCGCAUCCGCAAUGUGUCUUCAACUUCCUAUUUUAUGGAUAAUUGAUCCAACUUUUGGGUCUCUUCUAAUCCUUAUUCUUCACUUCUUGAUUUUGUCCUCAUUGUCAAUUCUGUUUGUUGUAAAAUUCUUUUGAUUAUGAGGAAUCUAUCCCUGUGACAAUGACAAGCAAUGCUGCCCGAUGAACCUUUUCAUGCAUUACAUAUGUGAGUUCACCCAUAAUUCAUGCAUGGAGUAGGGGGACAAUCCCGAUCUUGGACAUGAAACACAAUUUAUUAUUUGCUGAUUCAUAAACAAUUCUUAUAAUUUUUGUGUGAGGAUUUUAUUCAAUUUUAUAACAUUCUUAUCUAGUUUUAUUUCUUUUAGAUUGGCUUUGCCUUGAAGAAGAUUUUUGAAGAUGGUAUAGUGAAACGAGAGGAUUUAUGGAUCACUUCGAAACUCUGGUUUGUUUGAAUCUUGUGCUGACCUAAAAAUAUACUGGGUUUUCAUAAAAUUGAAAUUAUCAAUUGAAAAUUGUAAUGAAAAGUUCGAAACAUGGUUACCAUGUGGCAUGUUGCCUGUUUUCUACUGUUUAAGUGGAAGUGCAAUAAUUUGCAGGUGUUCUGAUCAUUCCCCAGAAGAUGUACCAAAAGCAUUAGAGAGGACUUUGAGGAAUUUGCAGCUUGACUAUCUAGACUUGUACUUGGUAUGUAGAUCAUGAUUAAGCUGCUUGUUCAAGUUAAUCUACAGAUAUUGGUGGAAAACUAGGAAUGCAUUUAUUGUAACAUAUAUCAAGAGUCGAUUCUAGCUUUGAGCUGGCAUUCAUUUCUUCUUUUUCUUUUGUGGAUAUCUUAAUUCCCGUCAUUUCCAUGCUACUAAAUGGCGCUGUUGAAAUUGUGAAGAUCCACUGGCCAGUCAGCCUGAAGAGGGGGUUGAUUGGUUUUAAGCCCGAAUAUCUUACUCAACCUGACAUACCCAGUACAUGGAGAGCUAUGGAGACGCUUUAUGACUCUGGCAAGGCUCGAGCAAUAGGCGUGAGCAACUUCUCCACAAAGAAGCUGGGGGAUCUAUUAAAGGUGGCCCGUGUUCCUCCUGCUGUCAAUCAAGUGGAGUGCCACCCUUCAUGGCAACAGCCACAGUUACAUUCAUUCUGUAAAUCUAAUGGAGUUCACCUUUCUGUGAGUAUGCUGAUAAAAAGUACUUCAAUCUCCCUUUUGGGCUGAACAUGUAUUAAGCAAAACAGAGAGGUCCACUUUAAAUAUUUCCGUUUAAGGAAAUGGACUUGUUACAAGAUGCUUCUAAAAAGAAAUGGAUUAAAAUCAUCUCCAUGUAUCUGCAGACAGCCCACAGAUGAUUAUUUAAUGAUGACCAUGAGUUUUCUUGAUUUCAGGCGUAUGCACCAAUGGGUUCCCCAGGUGGCACAUCUGGCAAGAGCAGGCAGCUCCUUAAGGAUCCUGUUCUCAAUAUGAUUGCAGAGAAAUUGGGCAAGUCUCCUGCACAAGUUGCUCUUCGGUGGGGGCUGCAGAUGGGUCACAGCGUGCUACCAAAGAGCACAAACGAGGGUAGACUCAAGGAAAAUUUUGAUGUUUUUGACUGGUCUAUACCUGAAGACCUCUUUGCCAAGUUCUCAGAAAUUGAGCAGGCCAGUAGUCUCUCUUAACUACUUCAAUCUCUUUCUGCUAAGUAUAAAUGUAUGCAUGUGAAGCUUAAGAUCCUAGUCAUUAAUCUUGUGGAUUUGAUAGUAUUACACAUAUUUUUAUUUUCAGCCAUUACCCUUUUCUGAUUGAACAGGAUAAACCAUACCCUACUUGAUUCUAUAAAAAAUGGAAAUGUCUGCCGGCCCAUAGAUACAACGACCAUUCAGACGUUAACAUGUCCAAUUUACUAACGAAUAUUAUGGGCAAUUCUGAGUUGAGUUUAGAAUACAAAGUGACUUCAAUGUCUGUAUUGAUGAUUUAGUUUAUGGGUUUUGAUUGCGCAGGUGAGGCUAGUUACAGGUAGUAAUUUUGUGCACGAGACUUUUGGAGUAUAUAGAAGCCUUGAAGAACUGUGGGAUGGUGAGAUUUGAGCAUGCAUGCAAUCGAUUAUGUAAAAUGUUUUCUUUAUAUGCUCAACUAUCCUUAAUUUGAUUGGUUACUACUUAAUUCUAAUGUCAAACGCCUAGUUGCGGUGGUAUUUCUAAUGGACCAGGUAAUCCCACUGGUGGUUUUAAUUAGGAUAUUUGGUUAGUUGUUUAGGAUAAAAUUAAUAUACAUCUAUGUUUUUUAUACAUAAGAAUGGAAUAGAAGCUGACAUUGGUAUUUACACUUUAAGUGAAAAAUCUUACACAAUUCUUGUAACAUAGAAUAUGAUAAAAAUAUGGUCAACCAAAUGUUGAAUGAGAUAAUUAACCUUUUAUAUAUAUAUAUAUAUAUAUAUAUCUAUCUUUUUACAUGAGCUACAAAAUAAGAUUAUUUUUUCUUUAGAUUUUUUUAUAUAUCCCUUAUUUGUAAAAUAAAAAAUUUUGACUAAAAAAAAUAAAUUUGUAGUUAAAAAAAAAAACUAAAAAAAUAUUUUUAAAAUAUAGUGUUAAAUAACACUAUUAUAUGUAUUAUUUAAUAUAUAUAAUAUUUUUGCAAUAAUAUAAUAUAAAAUUUUAAAUUAUUAAAUAUUAUUAUUUAUAAAAGAAAAUUCAUAUUUUUUUAAUAAUAAAUAUUGGAAUAUAAUAUAAUUUUUAUUUCAAAUAAAUAUUAAAAAAUAAUAGAUUCUUCGUUUUACUUUUUAGUUCAUUUUACAAAUAAGAUAUAAGCAUACUAUUAGCUUGGGAACAUAUCCUAAUAGGAGAAACAUAUCAUAUCUGAUAAGACACAUGCAUAUCAUGUCUGAUAUGACUUUCCAAAAAAAUAUGAUAUCAUAAUAUAAUAUAUAUAUAUAUAUAUAUAUAUAUAUAUAUAUAUAUAUAUAUAUAUAUAUAUAUAUAUAUCCUUAUUUAUUAAAUUUUAAAUUCCUCAAAUUAUCACCUGAUAUUUAAGAAAAGAAAAGAAAAAUUGGUGAUAAAAGGGAAAAUAUCAUUUAUGGUUUAGCAUAAAAAAUUUCUCAUGCAAUCUGAAUAUGCCCAACAUUAUUGUUCAAGAAAUGAUAUGAUUUUGUCUAAUUAUAUCAGAUUUUAUUUGUCCAGCUACUUCUAGAUUUAUAUAUGUAUAGAUUUAUUUUAUCCAUUAAAAAUUAUUUUAAAGAAAUAAUUGUGUAGAUAAAAGUAGGGGUCUCCAAAAAGCCCGCGGCCCGCGACCCGCUUUAGGCCCGGCCCGGCCCGACGGGCUAAAGCCCAGCCCGAGCCCAGCCCGAGCCCGUUUAUGGGCGGGCCGGGCCGUAGGCCCGCCCUUAGGCCCGGCCCGCAGGCCCGCCCUUAGGCCCGACCCGCAGGCCCGCCCUUAGGCCCGCCUUUAAUUUUUUUUUUUAAAAUAAUAUACUAUAUUUUUAUAUAUAUAUAACUAAUUCAUUUAAUAAGCACAAAAGAAAUGUAACUCAGUUGGUUAGAGCCUUGAAAUUUAUGCUUGAGGAGAGGGGUUCGAAUCCCCCCUCUUCCUUUAUUUAAAAGCCAUUUUGGCUUAUUUAAAAAAGCCCGUGGCCCGGCCCGUCCAGCCCGCUAGCCCGCGGGCUCAUAGGCCGGGCCGCGGGCCUAGCAUUUUAGCUCGGCCUGGCCCGGCCCGGCCCGUUGACCAGUCAACGGGCCCAUAGGCCCGGCCCGAGCUGGGCCGCGGGCCUCCUAUUUACGGCCCGACCCGUUGGAGACCCUUAGAUAAAAGUGAUAAUGAGUUUAAGGUCCAAAAAAAAAUGUAAAAUCCAAUUCAAAGAUUAACAAAUAUUGAUAAUAGAGAUAAAAGGAUAUGACUUUUUCGUCAUAUAAAUUUUUUUUAAUGAAUUUAUUAAAAAAACCGUGGAAAGCUGCUAGGCAAGUGUUUUUUCAUUUUUGUUUGUUGCAAAAUAAAUCGUAUCCGUGACAUCCGAAGCGGUUUAAAACCGUCAAAGAUUCCGAGCGAACAAUGAAUUUUUCAGCGAACGACAAGUGGACGGUGGAUCUUUAUGGCCACAAAUGGUAAGGGCUAGACGGCAAAAGCAAGACGCCAGCAUGAUUCCCGUUUCCCACUUUUAUAUAUGAGGAGAGGAGAAGAGCUUGUGGCACUCUGCGUUCUCUUUUUCAGAUAUUUGGAGUCUCUAGAGUAGUAGUCGUCCAUAUUUUGCGUUUUUUUUCCUAUCGUCUGAAAAUGUCCGACGACAUCCGAUUCUUUGAACUCAACACUGGAGCUAAGAUGCCUUACGUCGGUUUGGGCACGUGGCAGUCCGAUCCGGGUCUCGUGGGCGAGGCUGUGGCCAUCGCUAUCAAGGUCUCUCUCUUCUUCUUCAUGACUUCCUGCUCUAUGUCUGCUUGCAUUUUUUGGAAUCCUUGUAUCUGGAUUUGUGAUUGAAUGUUUUUUUUUUUCGAGGCAAGAAUCAUCUUGAAAUAUAAAGAGAGCGUGCCGUGAGGAUUUUCAGAAAAAAUUAGGAUCCAUCAGAAGGUAGAAAUAGGGCUUAAAAGGCGAGAUGUUUUGAUAAUACAAUGUAAAUGUUCCAAGCUUCUGAAUAUUUGUUCAAAAACUACACUUAUAUAGUCUUUUCAUUUGAUUCCAUUUUCUACAAGCGCAAAUGACAUUUCUGCUUUUGUUUAAAAUUUCUCAGCAUGUUGGCAAUAUAGAAAUAGAACUAGAUUCCAAAUAUGGGAUGAACCGAGACGAAGCUUCCUUCCUUUUAGGAUAAAAUCUCUUUCCAGUGCGGUUCUGCAUUCCACUCAUAGAUAUUAAUGUUCCUAAGAGUGGUGGAUCUUCUGAUUUUGAUAGGAGAUCCGCGCUUGAGAACAAAGCUAGGUGCCUUCUUUGUAUUGGGAUUUCAUAUUAUUUGGUGAGGGGAAUCACUUACUCUUGGAAAUAAUCUUUGUGAAGACGCUUCUUUCAUGCAUAUUUCCCUGUUGAUGAGCAAUAAUAUUUCCUCCUGCCAGAUCUACAUUUUCACGGCUAUUAUCUUUUCUUUUUGAAAAAGAACUCAGUUCUCUUUCUUCUAAAUGUUAUGGAUGCUGCUAUUCCACACCUGUACAUGGGUUUGGCUUAUGAGCUACUAUGGCUAGGUUUUGAUUGGACCUAACCGUCAUAGCUUGGGUUCAUUCUUUGGCUGAUCAAUUUAUUAUUCAAUCAUAAAUAUAUAUUGUCCAUAAUGCAGACAAGUACUCCAUCAUCCAAUAGAUGUUUAACAUUAGUAGCUAUUGCAAUAGGAGAAAAUCAUUAUGGUUAGUCUGACUGCUGACUACUCACAGGAGGGGAACAUAUGUUCUUUGACAUAUUGAAUACUGCUCAUGAUUACUAAUCACAGUAUUUGCUUCUUUUAGGUUUUAACUAGCACAUUUGUAUUUAAAGAACCCUAAACUAAACAUCUCAUACUUAAAGGGGCAUUGAUAACCAACUUAAUAUGACUAACUUAAUGACUUAAUUUAAGUCAUUAAGCAUAUUAAGUAUAUUUGAUAAAAUAACUUAAUGUUGCUAUUUAAAAUCAAAAUCAAUUUAAAGUUAAAACUAUUGUUUUCUAGUGAAUCUAAAAUAGUGUCAUGCUUUCAUUGCCAAAACUGUUGACCUUCUCAUCUCUCUACCACAGCCAUCAAUGCUUUCCUCCCUUGUGUCUCUCUCAUCGGUCUUUUACAGUUUACUUAAUAUCAGUGACUGUAAAUACAUCAAAUUUUAUAGAUCAAAAAACAGAAAGUAAGUUUUAUUCAGUAAUAAGUUACAAGUUGAAAAAAAAAUUUAACAAAAUUCAUACUAAAGUCUUUUGAAAUCAUUGAGCAUUUAUUGUUCAGUUUUACCCACAGCCAACUUAUUCUAAACUAAAAGGGCAGACUUCUCUUAGAUAUGAAAGAUGAUUAUCUAGUGUUUUAAUGAUGCAUACUCAAGCAUAUUUAUUCCUUGUCUCUACAGGUUGGAUACCGCCAUAUCGAUUGUGCUCAAGUUUACGGCAAUGAGAAGGAGGUAGUUACUGCAAAUAUGCAGACCUGAUUUUGACAAUCUGUGUUGUCAUCUUCAUCAUUGUAGUUGUUGUCUAUGUAUAUCUUGCACAAUAUUGUCGCUUAGAGUGUUUUAAGCAAUCGAUUUUCCUAUAUAUUCCUUAUAUGUUCAAAGUUGAUUGGUUCUUAAACUAAAAUCAUUCAACUAUUGUUCCCUAUUUUCUCUUUAAUUCUCUUGUUUAUUAGAGCAUGUCUCAAUUUCUAUUUGCUCAACCUACUAACUUUGUGUAUCUUUCUAUCAAAAUAUAUACCCUUUGAUUUAUAUCUAACACUUUAAAUGAUAAUUAAAAAAUUAAGAAGGAUCAUUAUUUUGUUGAAUUCUAUUCUCCUGAUUAUCUUGUUAUAUAUAUUCUCCAAAAGCAAUCAUUCUAGUUAUAUCCUUGGUUGUCUAAUAUUUAUUAUAAUAGCAUCCUCUUUUAAGCUUUGCAUAUUUAGUGGAAAUGUCAUUUUGACAUGGCUAGCUGCAAUGUAAAGAAUGGCUGCAAUAUUUGUUUAAAUUUAAUGUGAACUUGAUGAUCACCAACGCCCUAUAAGGCUAUAACCACUUUAUGAUUUCAUCUGGCAUCUGCUACUUUCUAUGUCCCUUUUUAUAUGGGUGAUGGAUCCAACAUAUAUAAUGAAUUCAUCAUUUUGGUUCUCUGCUAUCCAUCAUUCUUCACUGUUUUUUGUUUCUGCUCUUAAUUUUAGUCAAUUGCAUUUUACAUAUUUAUUGUUACUCCUCAUUUUGAUUCUGAGGAAUCUCUCCCUAGUUUUUAUUAUUGAUCAAUACUCUUAACAUAGGAGAAACCAUGAUGUGAACAAGUAACAUAAACCAUGGCACCUGUUUGUGCUUAUGCCUAGUCAAUUCAAUCAUAGCCCAUACAUAGGCUAUGGCCAUAGGGACAAUCCCAACCCUUGAAAUGAAUUGAACUUGCUAAUUCUCAAAUGAUCAGUAGUAUCUCCAGUGUUCAUUAUUCUCAUAUCUCAAUGUUUGAACGUUAUUGACUUGUAACAAGGAUUUUAUAGCCCUAUGAUAUUGUUUUCUUUGCUUGUAGAUUGGUAUUGUUUUAAAGAAGAUGUUUGAAGAUGGCAUAGUGAAGCGUGAGGAUCUGUGGAUUACCUCCAAGCUCUGGUUUGUCUCAGUUUGAUUUUGGCUUGAUUGAAAAUAUUAACAUUAUAGCAACAAUAGCUAUCUGUUACUCUUUAUCUUAAGAUGCUGCUGUUGCAGUGCUGCUUGUACUAUCUACUAAUUCAUUUUCCUUUUCUAGAGUAAACUGGUCUCUUGCAGUUCUUAGCUUCUACCAUUUACAACUUAAAUUAUUUGCAGGUGUACUGAUCAUGGACCAGAAGAUGUGCCAGAGGCACUAAACAGAACAUUGCGAGACUUGCAGCUCGACUACAUUGAUUUAUAUCUUGUAUGUGUUGCCUUAGUUAUUUGUUAAAAGUAACUAGAAGAAUGUGUCAUCCAAUAAAUAUUGCAGGUCUUUGGACCCUAUCAAAGUUCUGUGAAGUUUGCAGAAAGAAAAGGUCAAAACUGAUGAAAGGCAUUCCUCAGAAGAUGGACUCUUGUUAAUGCCAUAUUUAGAUCUUUGAGUGAAAUUUGCAAUAUGGCCAAAUCUUUGAGUCCCUUGAUUCUGCAACCUUGUCUGUAUCUUAGGAACUUAGAAAUUGAACCGUACUUUGAAUAAUUGAUAAUCUGCAUUUUAAUUUAGAUUGCAUUAUUCAGGAGAUUAUUUGAUUGUAACUAAAUGCGGCUGAUUCUUGUAGAUCCAUUGGCCGGUCCGUAUGAAAAAGGGUUCUGUUGGCUUCAAACCUGAAAACCUCACCCAACCAGAUAUACCAAGCACAUGGAGAGCAAUGGAAGCACUCUGUGAUUCUGGCAAGGCUCGAGCUAUUGGUGUAAGCAAUUUCUCCACAAAGAAACUGGGGGACCUGUUGGAGAUUGCACGUGUUCCUCCAGCUGUCGACCAAGUGGAGUGUCAUCCUUCAUGGGACCAGAGAAAACUGCGUGCCUUUUGCAAAUCCAGGGGGGUUCACCUAAGUGUAAGUAGUCAAUCCUUAAUUUACUUUGAAAUUUGGGUUAGCUCCUUAUAUUGUUGAAGAGCAUAUCUUAAUUUACUCAUUAUUUUGAUUCAGCUAUGCGCGCGCAUCUAGAACUAUAAUAAUUUUUUUCUUUAAUUUUGAUUUGCAUGUAUCUUUCAGGGGUAUUCACCAUUGGGUUCUCCAGGUACAACAUGGCUCAAAAGUGACGUCCUUAAGCAUCCAGUUCUGAAAACGGUUGCAGAGAAAUUGGGCAAAUCUCCUGCACAGGUUGCUCUUCGCUGGGGCCUGCAAAUGGGUCAGAGCGUGCUUCCCAAGAGUACACAUGAAUCAAGGAUCAAGGAGAAUUUUGAUGUGUUUGGGUGGUCUAUACCUGAAGACCUGUUUGCUAAGUUUUCUGACAUUGAGCAGGCAAGUAGUUCUUUUCCUCAUUGCCUCUGUCGAUUCCCCCUAUGAUCAUGGCUCCUAGUAAUUGUUUAAUAGUGGGCCGCUAUAUUGCCAUUGUAACUGCCAGUAGCAUUAUGCACCUAGCACCAAUAAAUUAGAGUUAAAACAGCAGAAAGAUUGCGAA